GGUGUAUAGACUGAAGUAUUCAACCGUUAUCAUAAGAGUAAUUAGAAGCUCUGCAGUCACUUAAUCAAAUGCAGACACGAGCUUCAGUAAAGCAGCUGACAGAACAAUGUCACAUAGCUUAUUAAACUAUUUUUUUUUUUUAGUUUUAUUUAAACUAAGUUUAUUUUAAACAAUCUUCUACUCUUUAGUUGAGUUGUGUUUGUGGUUUGCUGUUAAUGACUAAUAAUCUGUUAAAGUUUUAUUUUUGUUCCACUUCUGCUAAACCCUGUAUGUCUCCAAUCUUACCACGAUAGUGACUGAAGCUGCAGCAGGAAAUGAUGAG